GGCAGCGUGGCCUAAUGGAAAGAGCCCGGGCCUGGGAGUCCAAAGGCCCUGGGUUCUAAUCCCGGCUCUGCCA
rnacentral:tRNA from 1 species